rnacentral:rRNA from 1 species
UACAGAGGGGGCAAGCGUUGUUCGGAAUUACUGGGCGUAAAGGGCGCGUAGGCGGCCUGCUAAGUCGAACGUGAAAUCCCUGGGCUCAACCCAGGAACUGCGUCCGAUACUGGUUGGCUUGAAUCCGGGAGAGGGAUGUGGAAUUCCAGGUGUAGCGGUGAAAUGCGUAGAUAUCUGGAGGAACACCGGAGGCGAAGGCGGCAUCCUGGACCAACACUGACGCUGAGGAGCGAAAGCCAGGGGAGCAAACGGG